CACUACUACAAUUUUGCUUUACAAUAGCGCCUAUUUAAUAGCGCUUUUUGUGAAAACGCUAUUAAAAAUCGCAAAGAGAUACCUAUAAUAGCGGUUUCUUGUCGGGCGCUAUUAUAGGUGACCCUUACAAUAGCGAUUUACCUAGAAGCGUUGUUAUAGCUUACUGACAAAAUUUUAUAGGAGUUUAUGAUAGCGCUUUCUUUUAAAUCGCUAUUAUAACUGUAUUCCUAUGUUAGCGCUUUACUUGAAAACGCUAUUAUAGGUGUUUCUAGUUUUUUAGUUGACUUAAAAAUAUAGUAAUAAUUAAGCGAACAUAACCUUCUUUUGAACCCUGAACCCUUUUCUUCUUCUUCACUCGGUUUCUUACCUCACCCAAAAACCUCCUUCAUCAACACUUAUAUCAUUUCAAUCAAAAUUCCUUCCAAACCCAGAAUCCUCAACCUCAAUCCCGAACUCGUUGAAAUCCUAAACCCCAAAAUCUUAGAACUUGUUGAAACCAUAAUUCAUAACGCAGAACUCGCUGAAACCCUAAAACCCUCUUCCCCCAUCAUUCACCAUCGUCCAUCGUUCCAGAACUCGUUGAACCCAGAAAAUCUUCAUCGUUCUCCAUCAUUCAUUGCAAUCGAACCUGGUCUCAUCAAAACGUCUUUAGGUAUUUGGGUUUAUCUUAUUCUUCUUCUGCGUCUUCUGUAGCGAAAACUAGUUUCACUUCUCUGCUUUAAAUCACACGUUAUUUUUCCCCUGUUUUAUGAUUGUUGCAUUCACAGUUUCGUUGUUGAAUAAAAACC
rnacentral:lncRNA from 1 species